GUGUUGUAGGAGAAGGAGGGAAGGUUAGCAAACCCCCUGACAGGGAUGGAUGAGUUUCUAAUGGCCUGCAACACAGAAACAGUUAAGGCACUGCCACCUACUCUGUGACAUCUCUAAGGAAGUUG